AUACGGAGGGUGCAAGCGUUAUUCGGAAUUACUGGGCGUAAAGCGCGUGCAGGCGGGUAGGCAAGUCUGAUGUGAAAGCCCUGGGCUCAACCUGGGAAGUGCAUUGGAAACUGCUUAUCUUGAGUGCUGGAGAGGAAGGGGGAAUUCCCGGUGUAGAGGUGAAAUUCGUAGAGAUCGGGAGGAAUACCAGUGGCGAAGGCGCCCUUCUGGACGGCAACUGACGCUGAGACGCGAAAGCGUGGGGAGC
rnacentral:rRNA from 1 species